GCUAGCCGGCGAGGAUGCGGAGAGAGAGUGAGGGACCUUGAGCCGUUCCGCACGCGUCCUCAGCUCUGUGAGCCCCUCUGGCACCGCGGGGAGACGUGAAAACACACCCAGAUGAAGAGGGGUCUGACUUGUUUGAGAAUGUUGUUUGUCUCUGAAGGAGAGUUCUUUGUCCCAGUUGUUCCUCAGAAGCUCCUACUGUGUCUGAGGUGGCCCUUUCCUGUGUCCUCAUAAUGUCCAGGGCAUGUGAGAGUCUCAGAGAAAAGAGGCAAGGCAUGGAUAAGGGAGACAAGAGAUCCAAACUGAGGCCCUGGCCAUAGAAGAAUCUGAGAGAAGAGGAAGAGAAGCUGGAGAGCCACUGGACACUUCUGCUGGAGUCUGCACACCCCAUAUGAAGUGUCUAUAGAUCAGCUGAACCCAAGUCACCUGAGGUCUAACUUUGACUUUGGGUGUAUCCAAAGGUCUCUGGAUCUUCUUGGACUUCAAAUGACUCCAUGAGACUUGAGCAAUCUUUUGUAGAAUUUCCACUCAUGGAGAAAAAAAUGUGUUCAGGGAACACCUGCUACCUCUCAUCUGGCUCCUCCCCUGCUACGUGGUACCUGGAUGGUCACAGCAAGCCAACCAGAACAUGGGUUCUACUGGUCUGGGACCCACAGUUUGCUUGUUACAUCAGUUUUAAAGUCCUCUGGAGUUGGUUAUUUCAACCUUUGAGGAGAAAUUGAUUGGGAAGUUUUGGAAAGGACCGGACCACUUCAUACUGAAAGGGUCAUCUCACCCCUGGUCAGAGGAGGCUAUUUCUCCUUAACCUGCAAUGGUAGGAAAUACACAUUUGUUCACAUUUGUUUGUACACAACAAACCCCAUUUGUUGUGGCAGCUUGGAUGGAAGGCUCAUGGAUUUGAAUGCUUGCCUUUCAGUUUAUGGCACUGUUUGGGGAGGUCUAGAGAUGUGUGGCCCCGCUGAAGGAAGUAUGUCACUGUCACUGGGAAUGGGCUUUGAGGUUAUGAAGCCUCGUGCUGUUCCCAGUGUUUGCUCUCUCUGCUCCCUGUGGUUCAAGGUGUGAGCUCUCAACUUGCUGCUCCAGCUGUCCGACCACAAUGAUAAUGGAUUCUCAUCUUGGGAACUGCGAGCCCAAAUAAACUCUUCCUUCUGUAAGUCACUUUAGUUAUAGUGUUUUAUCACAGCAACAGAAAAGUACCCAGUAGAGUCAUGAUAUGACUCUGAUCUAUGCCCCGAUAUUGAGAACCUUUGGUAUCCUAGUGAGAUGUCUGACUAAGGAGAUCAAAGAAGGCUUCAGAAUUGAGACUGGUUGCUAGAAAGUCUGUGAUGUGAUUGGUUGAGAACAUCAGCUCCACCUCCAUCAUCUCUGGAAAUGGAAGACAGACUGGGUACGGUACUCUGUCAUAGAAAGGCCUAUAUUUGAUCAAUUACGUCUGUAAUACAACCUCAACUCAUAUCUUUGGGCCAUGCUAAUAUCCCUAAGACUCUGGGUUCCAGCUCCAGCAACAGCAAACCCCAAACAAACCAUCACUCACUGAGCCCCAGAAGAGAAGACGGUUCCAUCCAGUGAGGUUUGAGAGCUUCUGGAUUUAACACAGCCGUGUUUAGAGAGGGAUCCACUUUGAAUCCACAACCAGACGGUUCUGUGCUCAGGAUAUAUCAGAGCUUUUCCUAUGUGCCUGACAAUGUGUAUUCAUUUUUAAAAAGGUUUGUUUGUUUGUUUGUUUAUUGUGUGUAUACACAUACCAACCCCAGUGCAUGCCAUGGCAUGUGUGCAGAGGUCAAAGGACAACUUAUUGGAGUCUAUUCUUUCCUAUAACAUGGGUUCCCAAUGACUAGACUCAGGUCUCCAGGCUUGGUAGUGAUAAUUUCUAGUCAUCUACCCACUCUGCCACCAACAAUUGGUAUAGUAAAGGAUGGUGUUUCCUUUCAUUAUGAACCAUUUUUAAAAAAAUCAAAUUAUUAUACUUAGGGAGUUCAUGAGAACCCUCGAUUUUUAGCUGGUCAGCAGAACUACAGGAGGCACUUGUAGUUGGUGUCUGGAGGAGAGUUUAGACUUGGGGGGACCGAGCCCUCUCCCUGUGGCAUCUGCUCUGAAUAUGGGAAAAUAGUGGCUAAGUUAAGGGGGUGAUAGGAGACACAGCUAGAGAGUUUGAGAAGUGGAGGGUGUGAGGAAAAAUGAAUUUAUGUCCCAGGUAUUGUGGGUAAAAGUAGAUCCUCUUACUCCACAGUCCUGUGUCAUUUUGCCACUUCUAGGUCCAUGUUCUUUCCCACAAAACUUUCUUCCUUUUUUUUUGAAUCUCCAACCUAGAAGCAGAUUUAACAACUGGAAGAAUUUAUGUCAAUUUAUUAGCAAGGAGAGACAGCCAAGCACACAGGAAGUCCAGUCAGCCAUGAGCUCAAGGGGGAAUGCGGUUUAGCUAGGUGGGCAAGUCAGGUGAAGAGAAGAUUCCAAACUGGGAGAGAUACUGGGGUGGCAAGGAGGAAGGCCUGCUCAAGGGACUAAAACACGGUCCAUGGUGGGGUAUGAUGACCAUGAGAGAAGUGAGAUGACUAUGGGGUAGGGUGGGGGAGGGGAGCAGGAAUAACCCCAGAUAAGGGUUAUAGAGAUAUACCUGGAAAAGAAUGGAUGCCAGGGUGAGUGUGGACAGCUUGCGAGUGCUUGAGUGCUGACACAGACAGGAAAGAGUGAUGGCUAAGUCAGAUGGAGGAGACAGGGCCUGGUUCCUAGCAAGGAAAGGGGUAGAUACAAAGGUCAGAGUUCACACAGGGGCUUGGGACAAAGCCGUGGCAACAGAUGCUUGCAAGUGAUGAACAAAGGAAGUGGAGAGCUCACAGGGAAAAAGACAAGGAGAAGGGGACAACAUAGCAAGGAGGCACCUAGUGACACAUGACAAUUCUAGGUAGCAGUCUCUGUUUGAUGGCCUUAAUUGUGGCUGUGUACAAUGUACCAAAUCUGAGUGGGGCAGGAGACUCUCUGGUCAUUCAUCUGGUGCCUGAGAGAGGAGUUAUGUAAAUGGAAUAUGGAGCAGAAAAUCCUUCUGAAAUGGAAUGAGCAACAGAGAUAUGGCCUCUUCCAUGUUUUGGAGAAUUCUGCUGUGGUUAAAAAGAACAACUUUCAAAACAUGGUUAUAGAAAUUACAGCACAAUUUCAAUUUAUUUUUAAUUUGGAAAGAAUUUCAAACUGAGAGAAAAAAGUAAAACUGUAAAUGUAUCUUUAAGUAUAUAUCUGUAAAAUUAAAAUUAUAUGUGUAACCAUC